UACGUAGGGUGCAGGCGUUAAUCGGAAUUACUGGGCGUAAAGCGUGCGCAGGCGGUUUCUUAAGUCAGAUGUGAAAGCCCCCGGGCUUAACCUGGGAACUGCAUUUGUGACUGGCGGGCUAGAGUACGGCAGAGGGGGGUAGAAUUCCACGUGUAGCAGUGAAAUGCGUAGAGAUGUGGAGGAACACCGAUGGCGAAGGCAGCCCCCUGGGCUAACACUGACGCUCAUGCACGAAAGCGUGGGGAGCAAACAGG
rnacentral:rRNA from 1 species